rnacentral:rRNA from 1 species
UACGUAGGUGACCAGCGUUGUCCGGAUUUACUGGGCGUAAAGAGCGCGCAGGCGGUCGUUCAAGUCGAGUGUGAAAGCCCCCGGCUCAACUGGGGAGGGUCAUUCGAUACUGAUCGACUCGAAGGCAGGAGAGGGUAGUGGAAUUCCCGGUGUAGUGGUGAAAUGCGUAGAUAUCGGGAGGAACACCAGUGGCGAAGGCGACUACCUGGCCUGUUCUUGACGCUGAGGCGCGAAAGCUAGGGAGCAAACGGG